GACGAACGCUGGCGGCGUGCUUAACACAUGCAAGUCGAACGAAGAGCGAUGGAAGCUUGCUUCUAUCAAUCUUAGUGGCGAACGGGUGAGUAACGCGUAAUCAACCUGCCCUUCAGAGGGGGACAACAGUUGGAAACGACUGCUAAUACCGCAUACGAUCUAAUCUCGGCAUCGAGGAUAGAUGAAAGGUGGCCUCUACAUGUAAGCUAUCACUGAAGGAGGGGAUUGCGUCUGAUUAGCUAGUUGGAGGGGUAACGGCCCACCAAGGCGAUGAUCAGUAGCCGGUCUGAGAGGAUGAACGGCCACAGUGGGACUGAGACACGGCCCAGACUCCUACGGGAGGCAGCAGUGGGGAAUCUUCCGCAAUGGACGAAAGUCUGACGGAGCAACGCCGCGUGAGUGAUGACGGCCUUCGGGUUGUAAAGCUCUGUUAAUCGGGACGAAAGGCCUUCUUGCGAAUAGGGAGAAGGAUUGACGGUACCGGAAGAGAAAGCCACGGCUAACUACGUG
rnacentral:rRNA from 1 species